GGAGGCUGGCAGCGGACGUGCUCCUCGCCAACCCGGUCAGGUCCGGAAGGAAGCAGCCGUAACGAGUUUUUGCGCGGGUCGUUGUUCAGUCUCCACC
rnacentral:SRP_RNA from 1 species